rnacentral:rRNA from 1 species
UUCAGGCCUAACACAUGCAAGUCGUACGAGAAAUCCCGAGCUUGCUUGGGAGAGUAAAGUGGCGCACGGGUGAGUAACGCGUGGGUAACCCACCUUCGAAUCUGGGAUAACUCCGCGAAAGCGGUGCUAAUACCGGAUAAGACCACAGUCGCUUCGGCGGCAGAGGUAAAAGCUGACCUCUCCAUGGAAGUUAGCGUUCGAGGACGGGCCCGCGUCCUAUCAGCUUGUUGGUGGGGUAAUGGCCUACCAAGGCUGCGACGGGUAGCUGGUCUGAGAGGAUGAUCAGCCACACUGGAACUGGAACACGGUCCAGACUCCUACGGGAGGCAGCAGUGAGGAAUUUUGCGCAAUGGGGGAAACCCUGACGCAGCAACGCCGCGUGGGUGAAGAAGGCUUUCGGGUCGUAAAGCCCUGUCAGGUGGGAAGAAACUCUUCAGUACUAAUAAUGCUGAAGCCUGACGGUACCACCAGAGGAAGCACCGGCCAACUCCGUGCCAGCAGCCGCGGUAAUACGGAGGGUGCAAGCGUUGUUCGGAAUUAUUGGGCGUAAAGAGCGUGUAGGCGGCUUGGUAAGUCAGAUGUGAAAGCCCUGGGCUCAACCCAGGAAGUGCAUUUGAAACUACCAGACUUGAGUACGGGAGAGGAGGGGGGAAUUCCCGGUGUAGAGGUGAAAUUCGUAGAUAUCGGGAGGAAUACCGGUGGCGAAGGCGCCCCUCUGGACCGAUACUGACGCUGAGACGCGAAAGCGUGGGGAGCAAACAGGAUUAGAUACCCUGGUAGUCCACGCCGUGAACGAUGAGCACUAGGUGUAGCGGGUAUUGACCCCUGCUGUGGCCGUAGCUAACGCAUUAAGUGCUCCGCCUGGGGGACUACGGGUCGCAAGACUAAAAACUCAAAGGAAUUUGACGGGGGCCCGAGCAACGGGUGGAAGCAGGUGGGUUUAACUCGACGCCACCGCGAAGAAACCUUACCUGGGGCUUGGACAUCCCCCGGGACAAC